GGAGUUUCUUUUCACUUUCCAAAGCAGCUCAAUUCAGCUCUUUAAUUACCUUGGAGGACGCCCCAGCUGAUAAAUAAAUUUUUGCUAUCUUUUGGCCAUUCAGUUUCAUGAGUUCACACACACAAGGCUGUUCCUAUUUGAUGUUCACACCAUGGGCUGUUGGAGAUCCCCAAAACGUCAUUAAAAAUGGGCAAGCUGUUCAGCUCACAAGGAGGCUUCAUUAAGGUGCAUUCAACUUCAUUGGCCGAACCAAGACCUCUUAUUCAGCUCACCAAUACUUCCAUUAAUGUCCAGCUGAAUGGACUCCAUCUAGAAGCUGCCCAAUUGAAUUCUUCAUGCAUGAAGCUUCCCAAAAAUGUCCUAGGAAGGUUGCUAGAAAUUUCCAGCCUCUUUUGUUUUAAUUUUGGCUGACCAUUCAGCAUCUUAUUAGCCAUUCGACCACCUUAGGAAUUUAUAUUAUAAAUAGUUGUUUUGUAAUCAUUUUGGG
rnacentral:lncRNA from 1 species